rnacentral:rRNA from 1 species
CUCUGACCCAUUCGACGAUACACCUCUUGCCUUUUUAGAGUACCUUUAUCGUAUCCUCGGCAGGCACGCCUGUCCAACGGGGACCCUUCAAAACGCUUUGUAAUACCUGUCAUUGUCUGAUAUAACAACGCAAAAAUCAAAACUUUCAACAACGGAUCUCUUGGUUCUGGCAUCGCACUGUAAGAACGCAGCGAAAUGCGAGUAAGUAGUGUGAAUUGCAGAAGUUCAGUCGCAAUCAGUCAGAAUCUUUGANACGCACAGUUGCGCCCUUUGGUAUUCCUUAGGGCAUGCCUGUUCGAGCGUCAUUUAAACCUUCAAGCUCAGCUUGGUUGAUGGGUGACUGUACCCCUCCCUUCGCGGGGUGGACUCGCCUCGAAAUAACAUUGGCGGCCGUGUACAUUGGCUUCGGAGCGCAGCAGAAAUCUGCGGUCUCGUAGCCCGGUGGAUCGGCUCCCUAUACAGCCUCAUUCUUUAUGUUGACCUCGGAGUCAGGUAGGGAUACCCGGCUGNACUUNAGGCCUAUCCAUUAGC